rnacentral:sRNA from 1 species
GAGGAGGCACAUCUUGCAUCACUUUCUCUUGUCCCUUUGGAUAGUAUAUUCCCGUACCUUCAU